CGAGGUCGAGCGAGAGCGUGCAAGUCGGGACCCGAAAGAUGGUGAACUAUGCCUGAGGAGGUUGAAGCCAGAGGAAACUCUGGUGGAGGACCGUAGCGAUUCUGACGUGCAAAUCGAUCGUCAAAUUUGGGUAUAGGGGCGAAAGACUAAUCGAACCGUCUAGUAGCUGGUUCCCUUCGAAGUUUCCCUCAGGAUAGCUGGCGCUCUGUCGCAGUUUUAUCUGGUAAAGCGAAUGAUUAGAGGUCUUGGGGGCGAAACGCCCUCAACCUAUUCUCAAACUUUAAAUUGGUAAGAAGCCCGACUCGCUCGUUUGGAGCCGGGCAUGGAAUGCGAGUGCCAAGUGGGCCACUCUUGGUAAGCAGGACUGGCGAUGCGGGAUGAACCGAACGCCGGGUUAAGGCGCCCGACGCGACGCUCAUCAGAGCCCACAAAAGGUGUUGGUUGAUAUAGACAGCAGGACGGUGGCCAUGGAAGUCGGAAACCGCUAAGGAGUGUGUAACAACUCACCUGCCGAAUCAAUCAGCCCUGAAAAUGGAUGGCGCUGGAGCGUCGGGCCUAUACCCGGCCGUCGCGGCGGUACGAGCAUCGAGUUGGUGCGCUAGGCCGCGACGAGUAGGAGGGCCGCGGCGGCGGGCGUAGAAGCCUAGGGCGCGAGCCCGGGUGGAGCAGCCGUCGGUGCAGAUCUUGGUGGUAGUAGCAA
rnacentral:ncRNA from 1 species